ACUAAAAUGGAGUGGUUUUCACAGACAGUGCUGGGGAAAUAUCUUGGCUGGCUGAAAAUUUGUUAGCCUGAAUGGGACUAGAAAGAAGAAAACCCAUGCUAAUUCUUUAAACUGAAUUUUCAUGCUUUGCUCAUAGAAUGCAAAGGUGUUCCUUUACCUUCAGACUGGAAAUUUAAUGUGGAAUCCAAGAAAGAAGAUGCCCACAGAAGUCCCAGGGCACGGUGUACAU
rnacentral:lncRNA from 1 species